AAGCAUUCCGCCAGGCCGCUCAUGCUGCCUGCUCUCAGUGGCAGCCCCCCCAGGACUGGGGGACUCCGUAUCAGUGAAGUAAAAAUAAAGUGUUACUGUGCCACCUUGUGGAUGUACGAAGAAUGAACUGAUGUAGGGGUUUUGUGCUCCCUUGUCCGACCGACCUUGCUUCCUAUGAAAACCUUCCAUCUGUACAAUCCAAUCAGCUAGACUAAUUUGU